CGUACACUCCUACGGGAGGCAGCAGUGGGGAAUUUUGGACAAUGGGCGAAAGCCUGAUCCAGCCAUGCCGCGUGCAGGAUGAAGGCCUUCGGGUUGUAAACUGCUUUUGUACGGAACGAAACGGCCUUUUCUAAUAAAGAGGGCUAAUGACGGUACCGUAAGAAUAAGCACCGGCUAACUACGUGCCAGCAGCCGCGGUAAUACGUAGGGUGCAAGCGUUAAUCGGAAUUACUGGGCGUAAAGCGUGCGCAGGCGGUUAUGUAAGACAGUUGUGAAAUCCCCGGGCUCAACCUGGGAACUGCAUCUGUGACUGCAUAGCUAGAGUACGGUAGAGGGGGAUGGAAUUCCGCGUGUAGCAGUGAAAUGCGUAGAUAUGCGGAGGAACACCGAUGGCGAAGGCAAUCCCCUGGACCUGUACUGACGCUCAUGCACGAAAGCGUGGGGAGCAAACAGGAUUAGAAACCCCAGUAGUCCCAU
rnacentral:rRNA from 1 species